UGUACUCAGUUGAAAUGGUGUAGUAGUUGGAGAGACAUAUUGCUUCAGUUUGAUCCAUUACUUCAUGGUAAUCCAUAAAAACUGGAGGGAGGUUAAAUGGAUUUAUAUCCAGGUGAAAGUACGAGUAGAAAUAUAUAGGCAAAAAUUAAAUUUAUGCUGUAUCUCGCUUGUUAAGAGUUCAAUAUCCUUUUUUUUAGAACAGUUUUGAAGUUGAUUGGUAAAUCAUACUAAAUUUAGUUCAUCAAAAUAAUGAAACUAGGUUAUUACUGUAAACGAUUUAUUUACUUCAAUAUUUAGUGAACCUCGUGUUGCUUUAGUGGUAGUUUAUGGUAGGCUUGCUAGAAUGAACCUACCUUGAUCAGGCUUGCAUUUUCUACUUAUUUUUUUUUUUUUUUUACAAUGACCGUAAGGGAUGAAAUUAAUUUCUGAAUUUAACAAGGUGGUAAACAGGAUCCAAAAUUAACAAAGUGAUAAAAAUAUUAGCGGUGAACGAAGUUUUCCCUUAACCGAGAGUAAAUUUUAUAUAUUUAAAGGCAAUUAGACCAUUGUGGCACUGGAUUAAGGUAAAUUUUGAGAUUCUAAUUACCUCUGGAGGCGAAGUUCAGAUACCUACCUCGAGAAGCAACGUUGUUCAGCUGUGGUGUCACCUUGACUUUGAAUCGACACUAAUCGGUGUGAUGAAGAUGAAUUUAGAAAAGCUGAUCUUUGAAGGGCAGAAAAUUCUAGGCUACGUUGUGAAGAUCGCUACGAAGAGAUAUGGAAGAGGAAAUUAGGCCGAAAUAUAGAAAAUAUUGUAUAAUGGAAUUUUUGUACGAAGAUUUUGAAAAACAAGCUUUAUUAUGGAUUCCGUAAAUUAGUGGAAGUAACUUGGUGGUGAAUACGAUCCACAAUGAAAAAGAAUAUCAACUACGUGAAUACCGAAUUUCCUUUCACCCCUCCUGCGAGUACAUUUAGGGUAGACAACACGGCACCUACAUACUAGGUAUGUAACAGUUUGUGUAACUUGUAGCUUAGAGAAGCUUGGUGAGGCAAUCUUGAAUAAUUGUGAUUCUACCGCGUCUACUUGGAAAUAACAAUAGCUGAAGAGUGAUGAAGUGGUAUCUGCAAACUACUAUGAACGAUAGAUAAAGACCAAAUGGAUUUCGCUAUAGGCCAGUCCUCGACAAAUCAGUCGUCGGGACGGCGACAAUAAUUUAGAGAAAAAGCAGAUCGUCGAAAACGAGGGAAGGCCGCUUCGAAGGCGUCGGGACGGCGGCAACAGCCGAGAGAAAAAGCAGAUCGUCGAAUAGUGGGGAUGACCGACCGGUGCCGGUCGAGUAGAAAACGUAUUUCGACGAUCUGGAGAAAAGCAAAGCUGUGUAAUUUGAAGAGAAAGAUGUAACAGUAAGAAGCGUAAGACUGCCAUCAUCAGAAAGAGAAAGCUGGGUGCGAACACAUCAAAGAGAAAGUGGGUUAGAAUUGACUGGCCAUGGAACCAUACGAGCAAAGGGAAGAGAACUGCGAGCGAUGGCUGGGUUCUAUACAGUUAAAGAGAAAGAAUGGCACGAAGCAGAUCUUGAUGUAUCCAUUAAAAGAAAUUUCGUCAUUAUUUUACAAUAAGAUGGCAAGU